rnacentral:rRNA from 1 species
ACGUACACUCCUACGGGAGGCAGCAGUGGGGAAUUUUGGACAAUGGGCGAAAGCCUGAUCCAGCCAUGCCGCGUGCAGGAUGAAGGCCUUCGGGUUGUAAACUGCUUUUGUACGGAACGAAACGGCCUUUUCUAAUAAAGAGGGCUAAUGACGGUACCGUAAGAAUAAGCACCGGCUAACUACGUGCCAGCAGCCGCGGUAAUACGUAGGGUGCAAGCGUUAAUCGGAAUUACUGGGCGUAAAGCGUGCGCAGGCGGUUAUGUAAGACAGUUGUGAAAUCCCCGGGCUCAACCUGGGAACUGCAUCUGUGACUGCAUAGCUAGAGUACGGUAGAGGGGGAUGGAAUUCCGCGUGUAGCAGUGAAAUGCGUAGAUAUGCGGAGGAACACCGAUGGCGAAGGCAAUCCCCUGGACCUGUACUGACGCUCAUGCACGAAAGCGUGGGGAGCAAACAGGAUUAGAAACCCCUGUAGUCCCAUG